UAGGGAAUCUUCCACAAUGGACGCAAGUCUGAUGGAGCAACGCCGCGUGAGUGAAGAAGGUUUUCGGACCGUAAAGCUCUGUUGUUGGUGAAGAAGGAUAGAGGUAGUAACUGGCCUUUAUUUGACGGUAAUCAACCAGAAAGUCACGGCUAACUACGUGCCAGCAGCCGCGGUAAUACGUAGGUGGCAAGCGUUGUCCGGAUUUAUUGGGCGUAAAGCGAGCGCAGGCGGAAGAAUAAGUCUGAUGUGAAAGCCCUCGGCUUAACCGAGGAAUUGCAUCGGAAACUGUUUUCUUGAGUGCAGAAGAGGAGAGUAGAACUCCAUGUGUAGCGGUGGAAUGCGUAGAUAUAUGGAAGAAUACCAGUGGCGAAGGCGGCUCUCUGGUCUGCAACUGACGCUGAGGCUCGAAAGCAUGGGUAGCGAACAGGAUUAGAUACCCUGGUAGUCCAUGCCGUAAACGAUGAGUGCUAAGUGUUGGGAGGCUUCCGCCUCUCAGUGCUGCAGCUAACGCAUUAAGCACUCCGCCUGGAGAGUACGACCGCAAAGUUGAAAC
rnacentral:rRNA from 1 species